GUCUGACAGGUAGACUGGCCGCUCUCAACAGGUUCAUCUCUAGGUCCGCCGAGUGAAGUCUCCCCUUCCUCAAAACACUCCGCGGUGCAAAAGACUUCGCCUGGGGACCGGAGCAAGCAGCGGCCUUCGCCUCACUCAAACAGUACCUGUCGGAGCUGGCCAUCCUCACCAGCCCCGACUCCUCGCUCCCCCUAUUGCUCUAUGUCGCAGCUUCGCCGCACGCGGUCAGCGCGGCACUAGUGCAGGAGCAGUCAGUCGAAGGCGCAGUCAGACAGUGCCCUAUUUACUAUGUCUCCGAAGUCCUGACACCAUCCAAAUGCAACAUGACAGAGCUGGAGAAGAUCGCCUACGCAGUUGUCAUGUCCUCGCGCAAACUGCGCCAUUACUUUGAAGCAUUCAAGGUCCGAGUCACCUCUGACAGAGGGCUCGGCGAACUAUUCAGAAACCCGGAGGCAUCGGUGAGGAUUGCCAAGUGGGCAGCCGAACUCUCCGGCUACCACAUCAGCUUCGAGCCCAGGACAGCCAUCAAGUCGCAAGUCCUGGCAGACUUCGUCGUCGACUGGACUGGGCCAAUAGUACAGCCGGACCCGUCCACAGAGAAGAUCUGGACCAUCCAUUGCAACGGCGCAUGGUGCCAUGCGGGGGCAGGCGUCGCUGCAGUCGUCACCUCACCAGCCAGAGUCAAACACAGAUAUGCAGCACGCCUCAACUUCGCUCUGGAAUCCGACAAAUGUACAAACAAUAUAGCAGAGUAUGAAGCGGUUAUCCUCGGCCUCCGCAAGCUAAGGGCCCUCGGAGUCACCACAUGUAUCAUCAAGACAGACUCCAAGAUAGUUGCCGGACAGGUCGAGAAAGACUAUGCAGCAAAAGACCCCGCCCUCAUGCAAUACCUCGCGGCUAUCCGAAGUCUCGAGAGACAAUUCAAGGGAUUCACCCUGCAGCAUGUGGAUAGGGCCAAGAACGAGGAGGCCGAUGCCUUAGCCAAGGCCGCCGCCAGGGGCGAGCCCCUGCCCUCCGACGUGUUUUUCCACACCAUCGGCACUCCAGCCGUCCGGAGCCCCGAAGGGCUCCAGAUAACUAAUGAUAGCGAGGGCCACCGUAUAGUCAACCUAAUCAUGACCGAAGACUGGAGGGCACCAAUAACCCUGUUCCUACAGGGGUACUAUCAUCCAGCCGACGUCAGUGAGGCAAAGCGCCUCAGACAUCGAAGCCGGGACUUCGCUCUGAUCGAGGGUCAACUAUACAAGAAAGGGGUCAGUCAGCCAAUGCUCAAAUGCGUCACCGAAACCGAAGGCAUGCAGAUCCUACGCGAAGUCCACAGUGGCACGUGCGGCUCGCACGCAGGGCCAAGGGCCCUGGCAGCCAAGGUGAUCCGAUAAGGGUUUUACUGGCCUGCAAUGAUCUGCGCCGCAAAUCGAGUCACAAGGUCCUGCGAAGCCUGCCAGAAGUUCUCUCCUCGGUCAGGCAACCCCUCGCAAUAUACAAAGCUGAUCGCCCAUACAUGGCCUCUCCAGCGCUGGGGCCUGGACAUUGUCGGGCCCCUGCCCACCGCUCAGGGGAACCUUAAGUUCGCCUUCGUAGCCGUCGAAUACUUCACCAAAUGGAUUGAAGCGAGGGCUGUUUCCACAAUCACAUCAAAGACUGCCCAAAAAUUCUUUUGGCAGAACAUUGUUUGCCGCUUCGGAGUAUCGUCCGAGCUAACAGUUGACAACGGCAAGCAGUUUGACAGCCAAGAUUUCAAGGAUUUUUGUUUCUCCAUCGGCACCAAGCUUGCCUUCGCUUCAGUCUAUCAUCCGCAGUCCAACGGGGUCGUGGAGCGUGCCAAUGGGAAAAUCUUCACAGCUGUCAAGAAGAUGCUCCUCGAUGAAAAAAAGGCAGAUGGACCGAUUUGUUACCGGAGGCAGUCUGGGCGCUAAACACAACUGAGUGCAGGGCGACCGGGUUCACUCCUUUCCGCCUUCUAUACGGAUCGGAGGCAAUGACCCCGCAAGAAAUAAAGCAUGGGUCCCCGCGUACAGUUCCGUCAGCCGUCCCUGACGUGGACGAGCCAACCUCAAAAGAUCUCAUUGACGGAGACCGGGUCUUCGCCCUACAGGCCCUAAACAAAUACCAAGCCCAGACCAAAGCAUGGCGCGACCACGCAGUCAUCCCGAGGGAGUUCAGCGAGGGGGACCUCGUACUCAUCCGAACAGCUCGGACGGAGUCCAAGGGCAAGUUGGAGCCCAAGUGGGAGGGCCCCUUCAUAGUCAAAACAAAAGCUUCCCCCAGCGCCUACAGGCUCACAACGCCAAAUGGCGAGGACCUGGAGCACUCCUGGAACAUCGACAACCUUCGCAAAUUUUUUGUUUGAUCCACUUAGGGCUGAUUUCGCCCUUGUAAUUCACCGCAAACACUCUUGUACCGGCCCGCACUCUUUUCCUCCCGGGGGGUGAGGUUUUUAACGAGGCGGAGCCAUGUAAUAUAUGUGAGAAAAAUCCCCCGCAAAAACAUGUGUCGAAAAAAGACCGCGACACCGGUCUUCGGCAUUCGACCAAUUCGAAGUCACCGCGAGGCUAAGCGCUAGCCACCCUCGCGUGCGACAAGUCCGCGCAGAAGUCGCCUAAGGGUGCAGCCGGACUAGCACAACAAGUGCGAAAAAUUCCGACGUCUAUCGCGAAGACUAUUCGCGCAGAAGUCGCCUAAGGGUGCAGCCGGACUUAGCACAACAAGUGCGAAAAAUUCUGACGUCUAUCGCGAAGACUAUCCGCGCAGAAGUCGCCUAAGGGUGCAGCCGGACUUAGCACAACAAGUGCGAAAAAUUCCGACGUCUAUCGCGAAGACUAUCCGCGCAGAAGUCGCCUAAGGGUGCAGCCGGACUUAGCACAACAAGUGCGAGAAAUUCCGAUGUCUCUCGCGAAGACUCCGCGCAGAAGCCGCCUCAGGGCGCGGUCAAACUAGUACAACAAAAGCAGAAGCGACAGCAUCAAACCAUCCACGCUAAGACCGACUAUAAUCACACCAGCACAGCAUAGCCAACCAUGCCACACAAAGUACACAGCGCCCUCACAGGCACAGGCACGCGAGGGCACACAACUUCAUCUUACAACCCUUUACACAUAUACAAGCGAGGGCACCACACUCUACAUAGGCUCGACCUUAGGAAUAAUCCCCAUCUCCCUAUAAUUAAAUAACAUUAUCCUAAGCUCCUCACCCGCAAAAAGACUUCGCAGUUCCCCUUCCCCUGUGCUCGCGGCGGCCGGCAAAGACAACAGUUCCUGCCGACCAACCCUACUCACGCGAAGCCGAGCCCCUUCCUCCGCGCUAACCCUACGCUUUGCAACCGCCCUUCGUCGUCGGCGCCCGGUGCUAAGACCCGGCACGUCUGGCGCGUCCGCAGCGCGUGGCGAAGCCUCCGCUGCAGCCACGUCCAAGGCCGCAAAAUAAUCCAAGUCCUCCUCCAACGACUCCUCACUCCACUCAACCGAGCUCCCAGAGUCAGUAAAAUCAAAAAACUCACAUACAGACCCACCAUAUUCAUUUCCACCUUCCGCGGUCGAAGCCGCCAAAAACUCAGUAGUAGCGGUUGCGUGCGCAGGCCCAAACUCUUGAACCUGCGCAGCAACCAAAAUUCAGUACAACAUCCAAAAAGUCCCCAACCCUAAACACCCACUACGCCACCUGCGAAGGCCCUGCCGCUGCGGGAGCCUCCGCUGUCGCCUCCGCCGCUGCUUCCGCCACCACCGCCGCGGAAUCUUCAGCGCUCGGCGCAGCAGCUGCGGGGGCGUCAGGCGCGCCUUCGGCCACCUUUGGGGACAGGCCUUCGCCGGCCACAGCAGAGGUGGGGACGCCCGGCGCGUCUUCCGCAGUCUCCGGGGUUGUUUCCAGGGCGACUCCAGUCGCGGCCUCCGCAGGGGUCGGCUCCGGGUCAGGCAGCGCGCUGUUCAGUGCCCCGAAGUCGUCCACCCGCUCGCCACGCUCCGCCUAAGACAACACACACAAAAAUUCAGCGAACACACGCACAGCCCGCAUACAGCAAACACCAAACAAACGACGUUACCUGAGCCCUCGCAGCCUCGGCCCGCUCCCUGACCACCUCACGACCGUACAGACCCCACAUCCGGUCAUAGAGGGCCCCGGCGGAUUCCUUCACUACGGGGUCUUCGACCUUAUAGAUAUCUCGAUCAAAAUCUUCAUCCGCCUGGUCGAAGGCCUCGAAGUGCCGGCACCCUUCUCGGGAGAGCGCGUUCAUCGCCCCCUCGUAGGUGACCAGGGAGGCGUACGACAUCAACCCCCCCACGACGGCUGGAAGUUCCAGCAGCUCCUCCUGCACCCACUGCAGACAGCGAAGGCCGGGCUCUCGGUCCGGCACUUCGAAGUCACCGGUCCGCGCACCCAGCUCACGAUAUGUAUCCAUAAGCUGCGUGCGCGUCCGUUCGGCCUCCGCAUGCAUUGCGGCCUCGGCCUCCUUAGCGUGGCUCUCCAGGGCUGUGAGCCGCUCCUGCAGAUGUUCGGCGAGCUCCUUGGCAAGAUUGCCCUCCGCCCGCGCCAGCUUGGCCUCCGCCUGCGCAGCCUGCCCCUUGGCGACGGCCUCGUUAGCUUCCCUCCUCUCCGCCGCCAGUUGGCGCCGGAGGUCAGCCUUCUCCCUCUCCAGGGCGGCCACCCUGUCCGUCAGCUUACGGCACUUGCUGUCGGAGGCCGACUUCUCACGGACAGCGUCAGCAUGUUGUGUCCGAAGUCUCUCGACUUCGGCAGACACAGCCGCCGUGAGGGCCCCCGACGCAGUACGGCUGGCGAAGUCAGCCACCUGCAGAGCCGCGACGCAGUACGUAAGGCCGUUGCCCCAAAAGAGGUGGGGAAGAGAGUAUGGCUCAACGGACCUGACUCAGCGCCUCCGUCGCCUGACUCAGCGCCUCCGUCACUCCCUUCAGCCGGCGGGUCGCUGCGCCCGCCUCGUCCCUGACCACGGCGAGGGCCGACACCUCGCCUCCGGCGUCAAGGGCCUCGCCCCUUGCCUUCGGCACUAUGGCCGCCGUCGCGAUCUCCGCGCCAGGCGCAACCAUAGCAAGCUGGCCCUCGUCCGACCCUGCAACGCAUCUUCGAAUUAAAUAUAUAUAUAUAUAUAUAUAUAUAUAUAUAUAUAUAUAUAUAUAUAUAACAAUAAUAGGCCAGCGACUUACCACCAAGAUAGUCGUCCACAGUAAUAUCGGUGCCGAAGUCGGCAACGCGCUUGCCCGACAACGGCAACGCUUGGGCCGUCUUCGAAGCCUCCGCCACUUUGCUGGCCGGCGGCACCACCCUCAUUGACUUGGAGACUCCGGCGCCCGCCAUCGCCUCCGGCGCCUUGCUAGGUGCAGCGGCGCCCGCCUUCGCCGCCAGCGGCGGCUUGCCUCCGCCGGAGGCCGCAGCCUUCGGAGCCCCCCGCGGCCUCUUCGGCCUAGCUUCAUGCAGCCGGACAGUCGCCUGGUGUUUUUGCGCCGCACCUUGGCGAUCCUUGUCCAUCACUGCCCACACAACAGCACCGAUAUUUCGCCCGUAAGGAAACACUCUCCACCGAUGAACCAUACGAGAUGUAAAACAGUCCUCCUCAGCCGCGCAGGGGAUAGGAACAUUUCUAAGCCAGCAGCCCCCGGUAACCCUCAGCAUCCGAGCUGAAGACUCCCGGAGCUCGGGCGAAGACAUCCUUUCCCCCGGGGCCGCACACGUCCUCAUCAAUUCUCUAGCAAAACUGUCAGACACCCCAAGUCCUCCCAUCGCAGUACCUAAUUUUCUCUUUUUCGAGGAAGGGGCGGCCGCCGGCGCAGGGUCGUCUCCAGUCUCCACCGCUGGUUUCUUCCCACGGCGGUCCGCUUCGUCUUGACCGGGAUAGUCGUCGUACGGCAAUUGAUUUAAUUCGAAGACCCUGUUCAAACGGUCAUUUGACCCGCGGAUAUCAAAGCUGCGCUGGCCUUCCGUCCUCGGCACGUAACGUCCCACGAGCCGCACCGCCAGGUCCUCCGCAUCACGCACAAAGGCGGCCGGGUCGCGGUUUCGCAAAUUCAGUGCGAAGGCAGGACUUCGCACCACCCUUCCUCCGUGAAAAGGCAUCUGGCGAGGGCACACUUCGCCCAACGCCCAGCCGUGCGCCAAGGGCCAGACCCCGUACGCCACGAACUCUUCAACUAAAUCACGCCCACUGCUCUGACCGGCGGCGCACCGAAGGGCCCCUUCGUCUGCAUCCUCUUCUGCCACUUCAAAGGGCGGAUACGCAGAGUAAUAAUGAGAACACAUCUUAGACACGGGGAGUCCCUCAUGGCCUUCGACAGCACCCUCAGCAACGUAAAACCAAAAUUCAUUCCAAUUGCCCCACUUGUUGCGGGCGCACGGAACCAACUCCACUACUGGCAUUGUGGUCUUGCCGGUCUUCGGCGUGAAUGUGCAUGACCCAAACUGGGCAACUCCGUCCCCAGCCAUCCUCUUCUGCCAAUGCAAACAAUAAUUCUUCGCAAAAACUUCAACCGACGGCUGUCCGCCGUACGAAGUCGUCGCCCAGACAUACUUCGCCAGCGCCACCAUGGCAUUCAGUGUCAGCUGAUGUAUUUGAACGUUGAAUCUACGCAGGACUUCACCAACAAACCGGUGCGCAGGCAAGCGGAGACCGGCGGCGAAGAACGCCUCGAAAACGACCAACUCACCCUCCGGCUCGGGGACUUCCUCCGUCCCCGGAGCGCGAGCAACUCCGCCGCCAAAGUAGCCCAACCGCUGCAUAUCUUCAACGCGGGCUGACGUCAUCCGUGACACACCAAAAUCAACAGAGUCGCCGGCGCGCAACUCCUCCACCACCAAGCUACUCAACGUCUCCUCAGACGAGGCGGCUGCCGGCGGCGUGGUGUCGGCGGAAGAAGAAGAGGACGGCAUUGCUACGUACCGUCUGCGGCGGCGGGCGGUCUGCUUCACGCGAGCCAGAUCUCCGGCGAUCAAGAGCACGACGGGCAGACGAGCAGCAAGUCGGCGGGCGGCUAGGGUUUUCGCGGUGCGCGGAAGGCAAAGUUCAAAAAGCACCGACCCCUGCCCCCUUUUUAUAGGCAGGGCGCGGCUCUUCGGGAAACCCGCAAUCCGACAGGGCGCGGCGCUUCGGGAAACCCGCAAUCCAACAGUACGCCGUCCAUCAACGGUCACAUCGAAAACCCCCGCGGAACCACUUCGAGCGAGGGCAGCGUCUCCGCCAUCUAGCGACGUCUUCGGCACCAGGUGACUUUGUCGAACUGGUCCCUCGGAGGGCAAAUGUUGGGGCGAAGGCAAAGACGCCACCCUUCGCUCGUCGCCAUUCGCUGCAGUCGCUGGUUUGACGAAGACAAAACGGGCAGGGACACCCUUCGCUUCAUUCAGCACCAGACGAAGGCCUGCGGUGACGUCUCCCCGCAGCACGGCCUCGUCCUGCUCUGAGGCCCACGUGUGAUCUGGCCCAUUGUAACGGGCCCCGCGUGACCGUCGUUGUGUUACGGGCCUAGUUUGUAAAGGCAUUCUUGUAAGUACAGCUUGUAACCCUGCUUUAUGGGAAUAUUCUGGGGAUAAACUAGGUGUCCGAGGGCACAUGCGUCCUUAACACGAGGCGCUGGGCACUCAGAUACCUAUAAAUACCCCCGCACAGUGCCCGUGAGAGGCUAGACAUUAACAGAGCUAUUUGCCCCUGAGCACGUAUCCCUGUUGUCACCACUGUUCAUCCUUGUUGGCCUCCUUGCUACUGAGAGCAAGUUCCAACAUGCGCCCCGGGAAUUCCUGGGACCUCCGAAGCUGCCGGCAGCAGCCGGGAGAGACUCUCCGGGACUACAUCCGGCGAUUCUCGAAGCAGCGCACCGAGCUGCCCAACAUCACCGACUCGGAUGUCAUCGGCGCGUUCCUCGCCGGCACCACCUGCCGCGACCUGGUGAGCAAGUUGGGCCGCAAGACCCCCACCAGGGCGAGCGAGCUGAUGGACAUCGCCACCAAGUUCGCCUCCGGCCAGGAGGCGGUCGAGGCUAUCUUCCGAAAGGACAAGCAGCCCCAGGGCCGCCCACCGGAAGAUGCUCCCGAGGCGUCGACUCAGCGCGGCACCAAGAAGAAAGGCAAGAAGAAGUCGCAAGCGAAGCGCGCCGCCGCCGACGCGGACCUUGUCGCCGCCGCCGAGUACAAGAACCCUCGGAAACCCCCCGGAGGUGCCAACCUCUUCGACAAGAUGCUCAAGGAACCGUGCCCCUAUCACCAGGGGCCCGUCAAGCACACCCUUGAGGAGUGCGUCAUGCUUCGGCGCCACUUCCACAGGGCCGGGCCCCCCGCGGAGGGUGGCAGGGCCCACGACGAUGACAAGAAGGAAGAUCACCAAGCAGGAGAGUUCCCCGAGGUCCGCGACUGCUUUAUGAUCUACGGUGGACAAGCGGCGAAUGCCUCGGCUCGGCACCGCAAGCAAGAGCGCCGGGAGGUCUGCUCGGUGAAGGUGGCGGCGCCAGUCUACCUAGACUGGUCCGACAAGCCCAUCACCUUCGACCAAGCUGACCACCCCGACCACGUGCCGAGCCCGGGGAAAUACCCGCUCGUCGUCGACCCCGUCAUCGGCGACAUCAGGCUCACCAAGGUCCUUAUGGACGGAGGCAGCAACCUCAACAUCAUCUACGCCGAGACCCUCGGGCUCCUGCGCGUCGAUCUGUCCUCCGUCCGAGCAGGCGCUGCGCCCUUCCAUGGGAUCAUUCCCGGGAAGCGCGUCCAGCCCCUCGGACGACUCGACCUUCCCGUCUGCUUUGGAACGCCCUCCAACUUCCGAAGGGAGACUCUGACGUUCGAGGUGGUCGGGUUCCGAGGAACCUACCACGCGGUACUGGGAAGGCCAUGCUACGCGAAGUUCAUGGCCGUCCCCAACUACACCUACCUGAAGCUCAAGAUGCCGGGCCCCAACGGGGUCAUCACCGUCGGCCUCACGUACAAGCAUGCGUUCGAAUGCGACGUGGAGUGCGUGGAGUACGCCGAGGCCCUCGCCGAAUCCGAGGCCCUCAUCGCCGACUUGGAAAGCCUCUCUAAGGAGGCGCCAGACGUGAAACGUCAUGCCGGCAACUUCGAGCCAGUGGAGACGGUUAAGGCCGUCCCCCUCGACCCCAGCAGCGACGCCUCCAAGCAAAUCCGGAUCGGCUCCGGGCUCGAUCCCAAAUAGGAAGCAGUGCUCGUCGACUUCCUCCGCGCGAACGCCGACGUCUUCGCGUGGAGUCCCUCGGACAUGCCCGGCAUACCGAGGGAUGUCGCCGAGCACUCGCUGGAUAUUCGGGCCGGAGCCCGACCCGUCAAGCAGCCUCUGCGCCGAUUCGACGAGGAGAAGCGCAGAGCGAUAGGCGAGGAGAUCCACAAGCUAAUGGCAGCAGGGUUCAUCAAAGAGGUAUUCCAUCCCAAAUGGCUUGCCAACCCUGUGCUUGUGAGAAAGAAAGGGGGGAAAUGGCGGGUGUGUGUAGACUACACAGGUCUCAACAAAGCAUGUCCGAAGGUUCCCUACCCUCUGCCUCGCAUCGAUCAAAUCGUGGAUUCCACCGCUGGGUGCGAAACCCUGUCUUUCCUCGAUGCCUACUCAGGGUAUCAUCAAAUCAGGAUGAAAGAGUCCGACCAACUCGCGACUUCUUUCAUCACGCUUUUCGGCAUGUACUGCUAUGUCACCAUGCCGUUCGGCUUGAGGAAUGCGGGCGCGACGUACCAGCGGUGCAUGAACCAUGUGUUCGGCGAACACAUCGGUCGCACGGUCGAGGCCUACGUCGAUGACAUCGUAGUCAAGACAAGGAAAGCUUCCGACCUCCUUUCUGACCUUGAAGUGACAUUCUGAUGCCUCAAGGCGAAAGGCGUCAAGCUCAAUCCCGAGAAGUGUGUCUUCGGGGUGCCCCGAGGCAUGCUCUUGGGGUUCAUCGUCUCCGAGCGGGGCAUCGAAGCCAACCCGGAGAAGAUCGCAGCCAUCACCAGCAUGGGGCCCAUCAAGGACAUAAAGGGCGUACAGAGGGUCAUGGGAUGUCUCGCGGCUCUGAGCCGUUUCAUCUCACGCCUCGGCGAAAGAGGUCUACCUCUGUACCGCCUCUUAAGGAAGGCCGAGUGCUUCACUUGGACCCCCGAGGCCGAGGAAGCUCUCGGGAACUUGAAGGCGCUCCUCUCAAAGGCGCCUAUCUUGGUGCCUCCAGCUGCCGAAGAAGCCCUCUUGGUCUACGUCGCCGCGACCACUCAGGUGGUUAGCGCCGCGAUUGUGGUCGAGAGGCAAGAAGAGGGGCAUGCAUUGCCCGUUCAGAGGCCAGUUUACUUCGUCAGUGAGGUACUGUCCGAAACCAAGGUCCGCUACCCACAAAUUCAGAAGCUGCUAUAUGCAGUGAUCCUGACACGGCGGAAGUUGCGACACUACUUCGAGUCUCAUCCGGUAACUGUGGUGUCAUCCUUCCCCCUGGGGAGAUCAUCCAGUGCCGAGAGGCCUCGGGUAGGAUCGCAAAGUGGGCGGUGGAAAUCAUGGGCGAGACGAUCUCGUUCGCCCCUCGGAAGACCAUCAAGUCCCAGGUCUUAGCGGACUUCGUGGCCGAAUGGGUCGACACCCAGCUACCGACGGCUCCGAUCCAACUGGAGCUCUGGACCAUGUUUUUCGAUGGGUCGUUGAUGAAGACGGGAGCCGGCGCAGGCCUACUCUUCAUCUCGCCCCUCGAGAAACAGCUACGCUAUGUGCUACCCCUCCACUUCCUGGCGUCCAACAAUGUGGCUGAGUAUGAGGCUCUGGUCAACGGGUUGCGAAUCGCCAUCGAGCUAGGGGUCCGGCGCCUCGACGUCCGCGGUGACUCGCAGCUCGUCAUCGACCAAGUCAUGAAGAACUCCCACUGCCGCGACCCGAAGAUGGAGGCCUACUGCGAUGAGGUUCGGCGCCUAGAAGACAAGUUCUACGGACUCGAGCUUAACCACAUCGCUCGGUGCUACAACGAGACUGCGGACGAGCUGGCUAAAAUAGCCUCGGGGCGAACAACGGUUCCCCCGGACGUCUUCUCCCGGGAUCUGCAUCAACCCUCCGUCAAGAUCGACGACACGCCCGAGCCUGAGGUGACCUCGGCCCAGUUCGAGGUACCCUCGGCCCAGCCCGAGGUACCCUCGGCACGGCCCGAGGCACCCUCAGCUCAGCCCGAGGCGACCUCGGUUCAGCCCGAGGUACCCUCGGCCCCCCAGGGUGAGGCACUGCGCAUCGAGGAGGAGCGAAGCGGGGCCACGCCUGAUCGAAACAGGCAGACCCCGUACCUGCAAUAUCUCGACCAAGGAGAGCUACCCCUCGACCGAGCCGAGGCUCGGCGGGUGGCGCGACGCGCCAAGUCGUUCGUCUUGCUGGGCGAUGAGAAGGAGCUCUACCACCGCAGCCCCUCAGGCAUCCUCCAGCGAUGCAUCUCCGUCGCCGAAGGUCAGGAACUCCUGCGAGAGAUACACUCGGGGGCUUGCGGCCAUCACGCAGCGCCUCGAGCCCUUGUCGGGAACGCCUUCCGACAAGGCUUCUACUGGCCAACGGCGGUGGCCGACGCCACUAGAAUUGUCCACACCUGCGAAGGGUGUCAAUUCUAUGCGAAGCAGACCCACCUGCCCGCUCAGGCUCUGCAGACAAUACCCAUCACCUGGCCCUUUGCUGUGUGGGGUCUGGACCUUGUCGGCCCCUUGCAGAAGGCACCCGGGGGCUACACGCACCUGCUGGUCGCCAUCGACAAAUUCUCCAAGUGGAUCGAGGUCCAACCUCUGAACAGCAUCAGGUCCGAGCAGGCGGUGGCGUUCUUCACCAACAUCAUCCAUCGCUUCGGGGUCCCGAACUCCAUCAUCACCGACAACGGCACCCAGUUCACCGGCAGAAAGUUCUUGGACUUCUGCGAGGAUCACCACAUCCGGGUGGACUGGGCCACCGUGGCUCAUCCCAUGUCAAAUGGGCAAGUAGAGCGUGCCAACGGCAUGAUCCUACAAGGGCUCAAGCCUCGGAUCUACAACGACCUCAACAAGUUCGGCAAGCGAUGGAUGAAGGAACUCCCCUCGGUGGUCUGGAGCCUGAGGACAACGUCGAGCCGAGCCACGGGCUUCACGCCGUUCUUCCUAGUCUACGGGGCCGAGGCCGUCUUGCCCACAGACCUGGAAUACGGCUCCCCGAGGACGAGGGCCUACACCGACCAAAGCAACCAAGCUAGCCGAGAAGACUCGCUGGACCAGCUGGAAGAGGCUUGGUACAAGGCCUUACUACACUCGGCGCGGUACCAGCAGUCCCUGCGACGCUACCACGCCCGAGGGGUCCGGUCCCGAGACCUCCAGGUGGGCGACCUGGUGCUUCGGCUGCGACAAGACGCCCGAGGGAGGCACAAGCUCACGCCCCCCUGGGAGGGGCCAUUCGUCAUCGCCAAAGUUCUGAAGCCCGGAACGUACAAGCUGGCCAACAGUCAAGGCGAGGUCUACGGCAACGCUUGGAACAUCCAACAGCUACGUCGCUUCUACCCUUAAGAUGUUUUCAAGUUGUUCAUAUACCUCGCACCCACGCAAAGUUUAGUCAUCAAGGAAGGGUCGGCCUCGCCUCGGCAAAGCCCGACCCUCCCUCGGGGGCUAAAAGGGGGGGGAACCCCCUCUGCGUUGAAAUUUUCCUCGAAAAAAGAUCUCUUCAGCCAAAAUAUCUUUCAUGCUUUUUGACUACUUCGAAAAGUGGAUCCUGAAAACGACGAAGUACACGUAAGCAGCCAAAGCUGACCGAGCCGAGGGACUCCUACGCCUCCGAGAUACGGAUACCUCACUCAUCACCUUCUGCGAUAAGUAACUCACGUUCGGAUAAGUGAUUCCGUGGAACGAACAAGUCUUCACGUUCGGAAGUUCUUCUGCCGAAGCGAUCCUUCGAGCCUUCUCGACUGAGUCGGUGACAGAGCCUCAUGGACAGGUAAAAGUGCGCGUAAGCGGCAAGGCCGACCGAGCCGAGGGACUCCUACGCCUCCGGGAUACGGAUACCUCACUCAUCACCUUCCGCGAGAAGCAACUCUCGCUCGCACAAACAUCCAUGUUGCCGACAAAAAAGUCCAGAUACUCGAAACAAGAAGAAAAGAGACGCAGCUUUACAACACAGCGAGGGUGUGUGUUCUGGCCUCGGCGGCCGCAGGAGACACACGCUACAAGACAAUCUGAUCCUGCAGGCUCGGGUCUUGACGCUGGAAGGGGGCAGCAGCACCCUCGGCAUCGACGACACCUUCGGCGAGGUCCGACCUAGCCUCGGACGGUGACGCGGUCCAAGGAUCUCCGCUCUAAAGGACGACGUCAUCGCCACACCCGAGCAAUCCCUGCCAGGGUCUUCUCCGGAAAUCUGGCCCGAGCAGGCGGCUCGGCCAGUCACCCCGGGGGCCUCGGCCAACCAUCUUCCAAGGGCGCCAGCCUGACCCAAGGCCUCGGCUGGUCAACUCCGGCGUCGGUCCCGCUAACGGACGACCCGGCUGGGCUCCGGCCAACCAGGUUUCCUUUUCGAGCCAACUCCGCCCUUGUUCAUGCUGAUAUCGCUACCCCUGGCCUCGGCUCAUCGAAGAGCGGCCAAGGGGUCCCUUUAACUAAGCUAGAGAAGCCUCAGACAACAAGGCCGACCGAGCCGAGGGACUCCUACGCCUCCGGGAUACGGAUACCUCACUCGUCACCUUGACACGGGGCGACUCACGCUUGGUGAAGCGGUUCAGACAACCAACAGGCGAGUCUUAGUGCUCGAAAAUGAGGAAAAAACACGGCUCCGUGCCAAAAUUACAUACAUGUUCAGGCCUCGACAGCCACAAUGAACAAAAACACUGGCAUUCAAGGUGCCAUUACAAACGGAACUCUGGUUCCGUCCCCGUGGGUAUGAGCAACCUCGAGCCUGCGGGGCGACGAACAUCGGGAGACCCGCCAGUGACCUCUACAGCAGCAGCCAUGGUCCCGGGUGAACGCGGCCGCCGGAGGGCUCUCGUUCGCGUUCCCGCUCAAGGGACGCGAACCAGCUAUUAAAGCCAAAGAGCGGGCCGCUCCCAAGCGCACCGGCAGGUCCUCGCUGCCGUCCCCGCCACGAAUGCGAGGAAGAGGGCGGAAUGUUGCAUCCUAGCUGGGCAGCAACAGUUCGCCUUCCUCGGCAUGGCUGGAGGACGUCUCCGCCGCAGGGCUGGAGGGCGAUUGCCACCACCAGAAGCUGGAAGAAGAGGUGGCCCGCCGACCCGCGCAGGAGGUAGAGCCCUGGCUCGCCUCGCUCCCCGCUCCAGCGAGGAUGACGAACACCCUCGACGCUGAGGGCGGGAUCGACAUCACAGCCCGACUUGCCUCUCCCCAUCCAGGAGCUGGAGGUCACCGUCUUGGGUGACCACCAGCGGAGGGGUGCAACCGGGAUGUGUGAUGAAAAUCCUUGAAGCCGAACGAUGGCUGAAAGGUACCAACUCCCGCGGAGUUGCGUUCCUCCAAUGAUGAGGCGGAAAGACGGCGGGUAUCCCCCAUCCGGGGGCUUGGAAGGUGGAAAGACACGAUGCAUAAGGGAGCGCGAAGACAUGGUCGCCUUCCAAGGGGGUCACCCUCCUUUUAAAGGCGUCACGGGCUGAGUCUUCUCCUACACGCUACAAGGCCCUCCCCUGCGUCGCGGGGGCUGGGUCCCACAUGUCAUGCAAGCCGGCUCAGAGCAGAAGAAGCCAAACCGCCGCGCGCGGUGCACACGACCGCCCAGCGGUUACAAGUGACCCUCCACUUUUGCCCAGACCAACGGGCGAAAGGGGCGGGCAGCCAUGCAGGCGGCAUGCAACCGCGCCAAGUGGGCGCGCUUCUCCGACUCCCAACACGCCCAGCCUGGAGGCCCAGGCCCACGAGUCAUGCAACCGGCGCGCCGACUGCUUCGUGCAUGCAACUGCACCGCCACUCGCGCCACCACCGCGCCUCCUCGACUGCGGAACCAAUACCGCGACUCGAGGCGACCCAGCGCACGACCCAGCAGCGCCAGCCUGGCGCGGCGGUCAGUGCGACCAAAAAUGGGCCGGCAGUAAUGACGGUGGCAGGCGGGCAGGAGCAGCAGUCACGUCGUCAGCCAAGCUCACAUCCCAUCCAGGGGCAGCGAGAGAACCCUCUCUCACGGCAUGAAGACAACGCGCCCGUGUUCCGUUCCUCGAACGGCUCGCGCACGCGCAACGACCGCCCCGCCAACCACUCACCCCGUCGCAUUAACUCCGCGGCGGGACAGGCGGCGCCUCUGGCAGGAGAAGCGGGCGACGCUUCGCCUUCGCCAUAAUGACCACGCCAGUAAAGGUACGCCGCGUCGUUCGAUUUCGUAUCCUUUUCCUUUUUCCUCUUUCUCUCUCUCUUGCAACAGGGACCGGGAAAGGGGGAUACCCCGAAAAGGAUCCUUCCCCGUGAAGGAACCAGGCUCCGAGCCUCCCUACUGAUCAGAGGUUCGAAGGCUGGCCCCCCGAAGGGUUCGACAGCUGCCUCAGAUCGCGUGGGCCCUACACCCACUACUGGUCAGAGGUUCGAAGGCCGGCCCCCCAAAGGGUUCCACGGCCGCCUCAGGCUACUUGGGCUCCGCGCCCAUUACUGAUCAGGGGUUCGAAGGCUGGCCCCCGAAGGGUUCACAGCCACCUCAGACGCCGAGUGAGGGAUGACCAUGGGUACGUUCGAUACAUUUCCGAGACCAGCGAGAGCGAUCUUGUAACGGAAUCCCAUCAGAGGGAGGCAUCGAGCCCUCGGACCCCGUCGCCAGGGGACCGGGUCCGGCAGAUCACCCGCAGGUACUUUUGGGCGUGCCUCUGGGCCCCUAGCCGACCCCUAACGAACAGGGCACGGACGUCCACUCGGAUUACCCGCUUGCAGCUCACCGGAGACACCAUGUUCGGCGCCCAUCGAGGGCAACAUGGCGCUUUCCCCCCUCCUCCUUGCGGAAAGGCGACGCAGGGGCGUAUGUAAAAAAGCCGAGUUUGUCCCUGAUCGCCCUCUCGCCCUGUGCAGAGGCUCGGGGGCUGCUCUCGCAAACCCGGCUCUGGCCGAACCGUUGACAGCAUCAACAUACCAGCCCGAGAACUUAGGACCCGACCGUACACCCGGGCUACGGCCAGCUCACAUGAGGGAACAACCAGACCAGCCGAAGCAUUACGCGAAGCAUUAAGACCUCGAAGGAGUGAAACCACUCCUCCGAGGCCUCGGGGGCUACACCCGGCGGGUGCGCUCGCGCGCACCCAUCGGAACAAAAUGCAACCGAGAAAGGCUGGUCCCCUUGCAAAAAAGUGCGACGAAAGCCUCCAAGUGAGUGCUAACACUCCCUUCGAGGCUCGGGGGCUACUGUCGGGGACCAUAAUUAGGGGUACCCUCAAGACUCCUAAUUCUCAGCUGGUAACCCCCAUCAGCAUAAAGCUGCUAAGGCCUGAUGGGUGCGAUUAAGUCAGGGAUCAGUCCAUUCGAGCGACUCGAUCACGCCUCGCCCGAGCCUAGCCUCGGACAAGGGCAGCCGACCCCGGAGGAUUUCCGUCUCGCCCGAGGCCCCCCUCCAACGGCGAACAUAUUUCCGGCUCACCCAAGGCCCUGCCUUCGCUAAGAAGCAACCCUGACUAAAUCGCCGCACCGACCGACCAAGUCGCAGGAGCAUUUAAUGCAAAGGUGGCCUGACACCUUUAUCCUGACGCGCGCCCCCCCCCAGCAGAGCCGAAGUGACCGCCGUCAUUUCGCCGCCCCACUGACCGGCCUGACAGAAGGACAGUGCCGCCUGCGCCACUCCGACUGCGGUGCCAUUUGACAGAGUGAGGCUGACAGGCAGUCAGGCCCUGCCGAAGGCACCAUAGGAAGCUCCGCUUUGCCCGACCCAGGGCUCGGACUUGGGCUCAGCCCCGGAAGACGGCGAACUCCGCUCCGCCCGACCCAGGGCUCAGACUCGGGCUCAGCCCCGGAAGACGGCGAACUCCGCUCCGCCCGACCCAGGGCUCAGACUCGGGCUAAGUCCCGAAAGACGGCGAACUCCGCUCCGCCCGACCCAGGGCUCGGACUCGGGCUAAGUCCCGGAAGACGGCGAACUCCGCUCCGCCCAACCCAGGGCUCGGACUCGGGCCAAGUCCUAGAAGACGGCGAACUCUGCUCCGCCCGACCCAGGGCUCAGGCUCGGGCUAAGUCCCAGAAGACGACGAACUCCGCUUCGCCCGACCCCAGGGCUCGGACUCCGCCCUGGCCUCAGCCGACGACCUCCGCCUCGCCCGACCCAGGGGCUCGGACUCGGCCUCGGCCAUGGAAGACAGACUCGACCUCGGCUUCGGAGGAGCCUCCGCAUCGCCCAACCUAGGGUGCAGGCCAGCCACGUCAAUAGGAGGCGCCAUCAUCACCCUACCCCGAGCUGACUCGGGCCGCAGGGAACCAGACCGGCGUCCCAUCUGGCUAGCUCCGCCAGAUAGGCAAUGAUGGCGCCCCGCAUGCUCUAUGACGACGGCGGCUCUCAGCCCCCUUACGGAAGCAAGAGGACGUCAGCAAGGACCCAAUCGCUCCGACAGCUGUCCCUCCGCCAGGCUCCAUCGCUCCUCCGACGGCCACGACAUCACACCAGCUGAGUGCCAAAAUCUCUCCGGCUGCCACGACGGCAUGUACUUAGGGCGCUAGCUCUCCCCCGCUAGACACGUAGCACUCUGCUACACCCCCCAUUGUACACCUGGAUCCUCUCCUUACGCCUAUAAAAGGAAGGACCAGGGCCCUCUUAGAGAGGGUUGGCCGCGCGGAGACGAGGACGAGACAGGCGCUCGCUUGGGGCCACUCGCUCCCUCUCCCGCGUGGACGCUUGUAAUCCCCUACUCAAGCGCACCCGACCUGGGCGCGGGACGAACACGAAGGCCGCGGGAUUCCCACCUCUCUCACGCCGGUCUCCGGCCGCCUCGCUCUCCCCCCUUCGCGCUCGCCCUCGCGCUCGACCCAUCUGGGCUGGGGCACGCGGCGACACUCACUCGUCGGCCCAAGGGACUCCCCGGUCUCGAAACGCCGACACUAAGUAAUCUGUGUGCGGUCCUAUGUGGGGUCGGACGGUCCAGCAAAAUACAUCGGAUGGUCUGCAACAUAGCCAGACUAUCCGAGAAGACUCUCGGAGGAUGGUCCGCCUGUGUUCAGAGCCUGUCGUGUGCCUGGUGGCGACGACCGUGAUGAUGACACAAACGUGUGCAUCGGCAUGCCAUAAGAUGGUUGGGCCAAGGGUGACCCAUUUGUAGCCGAUGUGUUUGGCGCGGGUGACUCCGUAUUAGACUCAUGCGAGGGAAAAUUAGGAGCAGUCGAUUUCUCGUAUGAACGUAUAUACAUUUUAAUAGAUCCAUCUACAUAUUGCUUUAACUGAUCUCCUCAUUGUUCCAUGAAAGUCAUAAGAGAUAGAUCUGGAGCACUUACAGAAGGAUCCUGGAGCGAAGGUAGGAGAGAUUUCAUAUUGAUCUCCCCUUGAUGGUUGAUCUUCUGGUGGCGAUCCACUGUGAAGUGUGAUAGGUACUUUUCCGCCGUUCGGAGAGUUUAUGCAGCCGUUCCGCCUCCUCUUUGUCGCAUUGUUCGUUCCAUUGCCGCAUCACCUCCUUCUCAUCGCGCAUUAUGAGGUCCUCAAAGGGUUGCUGGUCAUCAGCCGGGAGUGCCUCCGUUGCCGGCUUGAAGAUGUUGGUGGAGGAGACCUUGGUGUGAUCCUUGGAACCAAGAAUCUGUGGGCUAAUUUUUAGCAGAUCUAGACACCCUUGUCCCCAGCGGAGUGGCCAAAAAGUGUGUUGGCACCGAUCCGUGCGCCAAACAUGGGAACGGACCGCCUGGCGGGGCUCUCUGCGGAGUCACGGACGGUCUACGGCAUAGGGCCGGACGGUCCGCGACUCCUCCUAUGCACGCUUUUGGACGGUCCGUGCCAGGGGUCGGACAGUCCGCGAUAGCUCAGAGGGUCUUCUUCUCCGCGAAGACCCCUAGAACUAGCCUCGGGAAAGAUCGCGUCAAGGGGGAGAGUUCCAAGGGAUUGCUCCAGGUCGGCAGGCCGUCCGGUGCUCCUCUAAUCGACGUAGAGUUGAGUAGAGAUUGUAGUAGAAGACUAAACUAGAUCUAAUCCUACGGCUAAAUUACUCCUACUCCUAGGAAUUGGAAGAACGAAAAAGUAAAACUAAAAGGUAGAUUUGAUUUGAUCGAUUGUGGGGGUUCAAUCGAUUGUAGCUUUUCAUCUAUGUAAAGGGGGAGGUAUGGACCCGUUACAAACCAAUCUCCAGAGUUAAUUCCGCGAAUUUAGCUAACAACCGUAGCAAGAAACUCGGAACCCUAACUAGCUCUGUGUGCGCGUGGACCGUCCGCGCUAUUGUCGCGAACUGUCCAGACGGCGGACCCUCCGGCCUCUAGGCCGGAUCGUUCGCCCUGCCUAUUUUGGUGCUCAACAAUAUGGAUUUCAUUUAACAACGUGAAUUAAAAUAGUUUGACACACCUCAAAAAUGAGAAAUAUUGCAUUUUUAUAACAACGAGAGUAUAUUAUGUUAAAAUUUUAGGCAUUUUCAAUUUUAAUUUAAUUCGCGUGAGAGAUUUCGCGCGUCACUAGAAGAGUCCAUUCUUAUAGGCAUACAAUAGGAGAGAGAAGGGAAACAGGUAGAAACAGUCGCACUGAAAGUCGCCUAGAGGGGGGUGAAUAGGCGAAACUUGAAAUUUAUAAACUUAAAGAAGCACUAAGGUCGGGGGUUAGCGUUAGAUUUAAAUUCAAGUCCGAAAGAGAGGGGAAAACAAAUCAAACAAGAAUCAAGGUGAGUGAACACGAUGAUUUGUUUUAUUGAGGUUCGGUUCCAAAGAACCUAGUCCCCAUUGAGGAGGUCAUAAAGACCAGGUCUAUUUCAACCCUUUCCCUCUCUCAAACGGUCACUUAGACCGAGUGAGCCUUCUCCUUAAUCAAUCGGGUCACUAAGACCCCACAAGGACCACCACACACUUAGGUGUCUCUUGCUUUGAUUACAAGUAACUUGAGAACAAGACUGAGAAAGGAAGAAAGGCAAUCCAAGAAACAAGAGCGCAAAAGAACACGAACACACACUCUCUCAAGUCACUAAAUGAUUGAGAUAAAUUCUAGACUUGGAGAGGGUUUGAUCUUUGGAAAUGUGUCUUGGAUUGAAUGCACUAGCUCUUGUAUUGAAUGUGUUCUCUGAAAAACUUGGAUGCUAAAUGUUGUUGUGGUUGGGGGGUAUUUAUAGCCCCAACCACUUGGUAGCCGUUGGCCAAGGCUGCUGGCGAUGGGCGCACCGGAUAGUGUGGUGCACCACCAGACAGGCACUGUUCUUUGUCCGGUGUGCCACCACAUCACCCAACCGUUAGGGUUCAGAGCUAGUCGACCGUUGGAGCUCUUGUCUUCUAGCUGCACCGGACAGUCCGGUGCCACACCGGAUAGUCCGAUGCCCCUCUGACUUCGCUGCUCUGACUUUUGCGCGACACUGUUCACUUGGCAGAGUCGACCGUUGGCGUGCAGAUAGCCGCUGCUCCGCUGGCUCACUGAACAGUCCGGUGGCACACCGGACAGUCCGGUGAAUUAUAACGGAGCGCGCCCUGGAAUUCCCUAGAGUGGCUGGUUUCGAGUUGUACGGCCUGGUGCACCGGACAGUCCGGUGCGCCAAAUUUCAGCACACUCAAGUCCUUUGGCUCCAAUAAAGUUGUGUCCCUAACUUGGUUCUUUUCUUGGUUUGUGUUGAACCUUAUGCACCUGUAAUAGAUGAAUUCUAGACAAAAACUAGUUAGUCCAUGUGUUUGUGUUGAUCAUCAACCACCAAAAGCAAUUGUAUGAAAUGGUUAACCGGAUUUCCCUUUCACGCACCAUUUGAAAGAAAUAUUUGGACCAAGGUCCGAUCUACCAUGAGCCACGACCACGGCCUGGCCGGCGGCGCGUGUGUGGCAGUCUUUCAUCCUUUUCUCAACUUCUCAAUAGAUGCACCAAUGGUCCACCUAUUUAAGUUGAUUGAUUUGUCCCUUGAACUUCCAAUACGUUGCUAAUUUAUUAGUACACCAUAGCAUUUAAAGAGGGUCAUUAGCAUUGACUAUUAUUGAAUAUUAAUUAUUGCAUAUUGCUUUUUUAUAAAACUUAUUGCAUAUUGUAUGUUUUGAAAAUAGUUUGCACAAAAAUUCUACUUUGAUGAAAAUCAAGCAUGGUAAUGGGCAAGGAAUCUACUUCUGUUGGAUAGUUUACACGCUCAUUUUGCUUAGAUGUUGAAUGCUGAACACUCCCCCACUCUUUACUUGUACAGAUCUUGUACAAUUUGACUAGGUUGUAUUUUUUUCUUGACACCCUCCUCCUUGCCAAAAGAAGUUGCACCUCUAUGUCCAAUUUCUCAAUAAUAGUCUGAGCAGUAAAACAUGACAUUUGAUGUAUUGGACAAUUAUUUAAAUUAGAGUUUAUCAACUCAUUCCUAGAAGUGGACAAAGAACUACCUUACCAAAUAUCUAAUUCAUGACUUUUUCAUACAUAGGCAUCUAGUCAGUAAUGUGAAGUCCAUAAGGAGUACGUCAUAGGCGCCCAUAGAUAAUUAAUUGGUAAUAGAAUUAACUUAUUUGGCUAUUCAAAAUGUUAGCAUACAUAAACAAGUUAUCAUGGACAUCAUUGAUCAUUGAUACUUCACUUUUUAAGAAAUUUAUCUUUAGUCUAGAAAACAUCUCGCACAAUAAAAAUAGAAAUUAAACCUAUGAUUACUUGCCAUCUAAAGUCAUUUUAAUGCAUAGAAUGGUAUUUGCUUCUUACUACACAAUAGCAACACUCCCUUCUACCAAAUUAUUUGCAAUGCAAGGCCCUCAAUUAAACAUGACUUAUAUUUCUUUACUUUGUUGAUGGGAACAAAUAGUUAAGGCUAAUACAACCUACUAGCAUUGUAUUAAGAAUGAAAUCUUCUGACCUAGGAUGGAAAAAAGCUCAUGCCCACCAUACAUAGUGUCAUUGCAGCUCAUGUGAGAAUGACCAUGACCAAGGUUGGGUCCUAGACCUAUGCAUUAAAAAGAACUCUAAUCAUGUGAUGAUAGUUCAGAAGAAUAGCAAGAAGUAGAAACACUUUAUGAAGGGCAAUGUCAAGGCUAAAGAUGGGAUCUCAAAACCAAAUACAAAGCUCAAGUCUAUCCCUUCCCCUAAAUACAAAUGCUUCUAUUAUGGUGAGCUUGUGCAUUAGUCUAGUAGCAAGGGGUGGUUUUUAGUACUUCAUCAAUUUUUCUAAUGACUUCGGUAGAUAUAGUUAUGUCUACUUAAUGAGGAUGCACAAGCCUAAAUUGUUUGAAAAUUUUAAAGAAUUUUAGAAUGAGGUACUAAAUUAGUUAGAAAAACUAUUAAGUUUCUAUGAUCAAAUCGUGGAGGUAAAAUUUGAGCCACGAGUUUAGCAACCAUCUAAAACAAUGCGGAAUUGUUCCACAAUUGAUUCCACCCGGUAUGCCUGAAUGGAAUGGGGUCUCUAAGUAGAGGAACAUGACUUUGUUGGACAUGGUUUGGUCAAUGGUAAGUCAAGCUAAUCUUUCAUUGUCCUUGUAGGAAUAUGCUCUAGUAACUACUAUGUUUAUACUUAAUAGAGUUUUAUCUAAAUUGAUGAAUAAGACACCAUAUGAGAUAUGGACCAGAAAACAUCCUAGACUAUCUUUUCUCAAGAUAUAAGGUUGCAAGAUCAAUGUGAAAUGUUUGAUGUUUGAUAACUCCGUCCUAAAUCUAAUAAGUGCUUCGUUGUUGUACAAUAUCCUAGAGAAACCAAAUGAUAUUAUUUCUAUAACUGGGAAGAAUAAAAGUUAUUUUGCCCAGAAUGGUAUAUUUGUGGAGAAAGAGUAUCUCUCAAAAGGAGUUAGCGGGAGCAAAUUAUAAUUGGAAGAAAUUCAAUAAACACUUAAAAGGUUUCAAUCCCUCAUAAUCCUCCAUAGAAAUUACAAGAUGUUGUAGAAUCGAUUGUCAAGACACAACUCUACAUAGGUUAGAGAGGGCACGCCACAUUAGUAAUAGGUAGUCGCUCCUAGUCAUAGGGCAAUGUGACAUAUUUUUUGUUCAAUGAUAAUGAUGAGCCCUCAAACUACAUAGAUGCAACGAUGGGACCAAACUAUCAGAAAUGACUUGGAGCCAUGAGAUCCAAAAUAGAAUCCAUACAUGAUAAUUGAGUUUGGAACUUGGUUGAUCCAUCAAAUGGUGUUCAAACCAAUGAAUGGAAUUGAAUUUUUAAGGAAAAGAUAAACAUGAAUGGAAAUGUCCACAUUCAUAAGAACAAUUGGUAGCAAACAGUUUCAAGCAUGUUCAAGGUGUCGAUUAUGAUGAAACAUUUUCGCCCGUUAUUAUGCUAAAGUCUAUUAGGAUCAUUUUAGCAAUUGUUGCCCAUUUUGAUUAUGGGAUUCAACAAAUGGAUGUCAAAACAGUUUUCCAAAAUGUAAAUCUGAGUGAGGACGUGUACAUUAUAUAACCUAAAGGUUUUGUUGAUCCUAUAAGUGUGGGAAAGGGUUUGGCUUCAUCAAUAAUAAAAUAUAGCCUUGUGUUUACUAGAAGGCUAGUGGGACCACACAUGUAUUUUUGGUCCUGUAUAUAGAUGAUAUAUAAUUGAACGGAAAUGGUAUUCAUAUGUUACAAGCUGCCAAGUUUUCAUUAAUAAAUAGUUUCACUAUGAAAGAUCACAUAGAGGUAGCUUAUAUUUUAGACAUUGAUAUUUAUAGAGAUUGGCCAAAAAGGCUAAUUGGAUUAAGACAAGUACAUACAUUGACAAGGUAUUGAAAUAGUUCAAUAUGCAAGAUUCGAAGAAAGGUUUCCUGCCAAUGUAACAUGGAGUUACCCUAAAUUAGGGGUGCAAGUGGUGUGGAUAAUUAUCAGAUCCGUUCCAAUCUGAAUCCUAAUUAUACGGAUAUGGUGCAGGAGUUAUUAUAUCCAUGUGGAUAUGGAUAAUCUGAAUCCGAUCUACAUGUGGAUGCGGAGUAGGAUAUGGUAUCACCAAUACGAGGGAUAUGGAGUAUUCGAUAUUUGAACUCGGAUUAUUCGAUGCUUAAAAUAGGAUAAUAUCCGAUUAGUGUGGCAACUACAAAAGACACAGAGAGUCAGUCAACAAUGAUUGAUUACUGCCAAAUAAAACUAAAAUUUCUAUAUAGUUGAACAGGAAAUGAAACGCUAUACACGAUAGAAAUCAAUCACCACCCCCAACCCAAGAGGCAACAAGCCGACAUAAAUCAAUCAGCGAUCAACCGAUCACACACCGUAUAGUAUGUGAGGUAAUGCUAUUUUUAUUUACCUACUUAUUAGUUAUUUAUACUAGCUAUAUUCAAGUUAUGCUGUCAAUUGUUAAACUUUAAUUUAUGAAUUAUUGAUCGCUAUAAAAAUAGAUGUAUACAUGUAUUAUCCAACCUUUGAAAUCCGCUUCCGCCACCCUUCCACUCCGACUCCGCACCAUUUUCAAUAUCCUAAAAUAUCCAUAUACGCAUCCGCAUAAUAUCCGCUCUGAUCUGAAUCCAACGAUAAAAAUAGGAUUAGGAUAUGGAAAAGGCGAUAUACGAUCCGAUCCGUUUGCACCCCUACCCUAAAUGAUACUUAGUGUCAUUCAACACCUAGUGAGCGAAAAAGGAUGAGUGCAAUUUCGUAUGUCCUUGUAAUCAUAUCCAUCAUGUAUGCCAUGCUACGUACAAGUCUAGGCAUUUCUUAUGCUCCAAGCAUUACAAAUAGGUACCAAUUUAACCUAGGUGAGGCUCAUCGGGUGGCUAUGGAGAAUAUCUUAAAGUACUUGUAAAGAACUAAGGAUAUGUUUGUGGUUUAUGGAGGUGAGGAAGAGUUCAUUAUAAAUGGUUAUAUGAUGCUAGCUUACAAACCGAUAGAGAUGAUAGUCAAUCUGAAUCUAGAUUCAUGUUCUGCCUAAAUGGAGGAGCAAUAAGUUGGAAAAGUUCUAGACAAGAGAUAUUGGCUCGUUCUACGAUAGAGGUCAUGUAUAUUACAUCGUCAGAUGCUACUAAGGAGACUAUUUGGAUUAGAAAGUUUGUUUCUGAGUUGUAUGUGGUUCCAAGUGUGCCAAAUCCUUUAUAUCUUUGUUGUGAUAAUAAUGGCGCCACUACACAGACUGAGAAACCUAGAUCGCACCAAAAUCCAAAUACAUACCAUAUUCAUGAGAUCAUUAAUAGAGGUUGUGUGAAUAUUUGUAAACUGUACACAAAUUUGAAUGUUGCUGAUCCGUUGUCGAAGUCUCUUCUACAACCAAAACAUAAGGCACACGUGAGCGCAAUCGAUAUCAGAUACCUGCAUGAUUCAUUUUAGUGUAAGUGGAAGUUAAUUGUAUAAAUGGCUUAUAUUUAUAAGUGUUGAAUGAAGUGUUACUCAAUCCCUCAAAUUAUUAUUAUUACGUCGGCUCUCGAUUGCAUGACUUGUUCGUUAAAUGUAUGGUUUAUAAUGUUUAUAAUUUUAUUCAAAAUAUGUGUGUCUUAUGUCAUUAUACGAGACAAUAAUAAUUUUAUAGAUUAGAACAUAUAUUGAUUUAUGGACAUGCAUGUUUCAUGGAUCAUUGAUAUAGAAAUAUUAAAUUAAUAAUAUGGAUAUAUGAUAAAAUUUAUGGUGUCAGAUUUUUUCUGUGUUUACUGGACCGACUCAAUCUUUUUAGACCCACAACAAGCAAGGUUCACACAAGAAAAUAAAACCGUGGACUUGAGAAUCUUGAUCCAGUUUUUUAACCGUGGCUAGCGGGUCGAACCUAAACGGGACCAUCCUGGCCGUCAGCAGGCCCAUUUGGCCAUCUCUAGAUGGGCGAGCCGUUGCCGUUCCGUGUACAGUAAAGUACCACGUGAGGCUGUGUAAUAAAGAGGACAGGUGGGGCUGCAGCUGCCCUGCCAGUGCCAGAUCAGCUGGAGAAGAAGAGGACGGCUGAAAGACGAAACUGAAAUUUAUACAAAUUAUUAUUACAACAAAACUGUUUUAAAAUCGUAAGACGUUUUAGUGUUUUUUUCUCUAGGUUUAUUUAUUAUGCGCUAUAUAUUAUUAAUGUCAUAUAAUUUGGUUGGUUGGGACUUGGGACGGCCGGACGGGAAAGUAAUAAAGUACUGCAUACUGAAGAGAUGAGGAGGAGUACAGCAGCGAAUGAAUUCGAUUAUCUGAACUUGUUAUUACUAUGAUUAUUGCGUCGCGGUGACAGAUGAUGCAUGGGGUGGGUACGGUAGCAAAACAGGAACACGACUGAAUUCAAGCAACUACAUACAGCACAAGUCGGCAUCAGGCAUAUGAACAGACACAGAUACAGAGACAUGGAUCGUCGUCGGCAAGGAUGACUAGCUAGGUGUUCUUGGUGAUGGCGUAGAUGGCGUAGAUGAUGCCGGGGAUGUAGCCGAGGAAGGUGAGGAGGAGGCAGAUCCAGAACUCGUGGCCGCACCCGUACUUGAGGAACACCCCCAGCGGAGGCAGGAUGAUGGCGAUCAGGAUGUCCACGCAGUUGGCAGUCCCCUCCGACAUGCUGCCGAUGCUUCUUCUUCCUCCUCUUCUUCUUCUCUGCCUUGGCUUGGCUUGGAUGGAUCGGAUUCCUUCUCUCCUUUCGCUUUGCCUCUUCCCUGGCUUCACUUUCACUUUAUAGGCAGGCAGACCUUGGACGAGAGGGAGGGCGAUGGGAUGGCGACAGCUACAUACCAGUCGAGCGAUCUACUAGCUAGUCCGGUGGCACGCAAACGCAACACGUCUCGUC
rnacentral:lncRNA from 1 species